rnacentral:rRNA from 1 species
AUUGAACGCUGGCGGCAUGCUUUACACAUGCAAGUCGAACGGUAACAGGCCGCAAGGUGCUGACGAGUGGCGAACGGGUGAGUAAUGCAUCGGAACGUGCCCAGUCGUGGGGGAUAACGCAGCGAAAGCUGCGCUAAUACCGCAUACGAUCUAUGGAUGAAAGCGGGGGACCGAAAGGCCUCGCGCGAUUGGAGCGGCCGAUGUCAGAUUAGGUAGUUGGUGGGGUAAAGGCUCACCAAGCCAACGAUCUGUAGCUGGUCUGAGAGGACGACCAGCCACACUGGGACUGAGACACGGCCCAGACUCCUACGGGAGGCAGCAGUGGGGAAUAUUGGACAAUGGGCGCAAGCCUGAUCCAGCCAUGCCGCGUGAGUGAUGAAGGCCUUCGGGUUGUAAAGCUCUUUAAGCGAGGAGGAAUGGCUCUUGGUUAAUAACCUUGAGCAGUGACGUUACUCGCAGAAUAAGCACCGGCUAACUCUGUGCCAGCAGCCGCCGUAACAC